UGGGGAAUAUUGCACAAUGGGCGCAAGCCUGAUGCAGCCAUGCCGCGUGUAUGAAGAAGGCCUUCGGGUUGUAAAGUACUUUCAGCGGGGAGGAAGGGAGUAAAGUUAAUACCUUUGCUCAUUGACGUUACCCGCAGAAGAAGCACCGGCUAACUCCGUGCCAGCAGCCGCGGUAAUACGGAGGGUGCAAGCGUUAAUCGGAAUUACUGGGCGUAAAGCGCACGCAGGCGGUUUGUUAAGUCAGAUGUGAAAUCCCCGGGCUCAACCUGGGAACGGCAUCUGAUACUGGCAAGCUUAAGUCUCGUAGAGGAGGGUAGAAUUCCAGGUGUGGCGGUGAAAUGCGUAGAGAUCUGGAGGAAUACCGGUGGCGAAGGCGGCCCCCUGGACGAAGACUGACGCUCAGGUGCGAAAGCGUGGGGAGCAAACAGG
rnacentral:rRNA from 1 species